rnacentral:rRNA from 1 species
CCUACGGGAGGCAGCAGUGGGGAAUAUUGGGCAAUGGGCGCAAGCCUGACCCAGCAACGCCGCGUGAAGGAAGAAGGCUUUCGGGUUGUAAACUUCUUUUAAGAGGGACGAGCAGAAGACGGUACCUCUUGAAUAAGCCACGGCUAACUACGUGCCAGCAGCCGCGGUAAUACGUAGGUGGCAAUCGUUGUCCGGCUUUACUGGGUGUAAAGGGCGGGUAGCCGGGCUGACAAGUCCGUUGUGAAAUUCCGGGGCGCAACCCCCGACCUGCAUUGGAAACUGUUGGACUUGAGUAUCAGAGAGGCAGGCGGAAUUCCUAGUGAAGCGGUGAAAUGCGUAGAUAUAAGGAGGAACACCAGUGGCGAAGGCGGCCUGCUGGAUGACAACUGACGGUGAGGCGCGAAAGCGUGGGGAGCAAACAGGAUUAGAUACCCUUGUAGUC